AAAAACAUUGCUAUAAGGGUAGUGUAUGGUAAGGCCUGCCCAGUGAUUAAUUAAACGGCUGCGGUAUAUUGACCGUGCUAAGGUAGCAUAGUCAUUUGUCUUUUAAUUGGAGGCUGGAAUGAAGGGUUUAACAAAAGAUAGUGUCUUUAUUUUAAAUUUGUAAUUUGUAAUAAGAGUAAAAAUACUCUGGUGUAAUUAAGGGACGACAAGACCCUAAAAGCUUUAUUUUUAACAUAAGUUUGAGUUUAAAGUAGAACAGAGAGUUUAACUGGGGUAGUUUUUUUGUAAAAUCUGAGGUUGUAAAAGACAUGUAAGGUGGGAUUAGGUCCUUUAGAUAAGGAUAAUUUGAGUGAGUUACUUUAGGGAUAACAGCGUAAUAGUCCUAGGGAGAUCGUAUCUAUGGGAUUGAUUGCGACCUCGAUGUUGAAUUAAAAGCUCAGUGUAGAGUAGAAGCUACAGGGUGAGGGUUUGUUCAACCUUUAAA
rnacentral:rRNA from 1 species